UGGGGAAUAUUGCACAAUGGGCGCAAGCCUGAUGCAGCCAUGCCGCGUGUAUGAAGAAGGCCUUCGGGUUGUAAAGUACUUUCAGCGAGGAGGAAGGCGUUGUGGUUAAUAACCGCAACGAUUGACGUUACUCGCAGAAGAAGCACCGGCUAACUCCGUGCCAGCAGCCGCGGUAAUACGGAGGGUGCAAGCGUUAAUCGGAAUUACUGGGCGUAAAGCGCACGCAGGCGGUCUGUCAAGUCGGAUGUGAAAUCCCCGGGCUCAACCUGGGAACUGCAUCCGAAACUGGCAGGCUAGAGUCUUGUAGAGGGGGGUAGAAUUCCAGGUGUAGCGGUGAAAUGCGUAGAGAUCUGGAGGAAUACCGGUGGCGAAGGCGGCCCCCUGGACAAAGACUGACGCUUAGGUGCGAAAGCGUGGGGAGCAAACA
rnacentral:rRNA from 1 species